GUGGGGAAUCUUGCGCAAUGGGCGAAAGCCUGACGCAGCCAUGCCGCGUGAAUGAUGAAGGUCUUAGGAUUGUAAAAUUCUUUCACCGGGGACGAUAAUGACGGUACCCGGAGAAGAAGCUCCGGCUAACUUCGUGCCAGCAGCCGCGGUAAUACGAAGGGGGCUAGCGUUGUUCGGAAUUACUGGGCGUACAGCGCACGUAGGCGGGUAUUUAAGUCAGGGGUGAAAGCCCAGGGCUCAACCUUGGAAUUGCCUUUGAUACUGUCUGUCUUGAGUACGGGAGAGGUGAGUGGAACUCCGAGUGUAGAGGUGAAAUUCGUAGAUAUUCGGAAGAACACCAGUGGCGAAGGCGACUCGCUGGCCCGUUACUGACGCUGAGGCGCGAAAGCGUGGGAGCAAACAGGAUUAGAUACCCCUGUAGUCC
rnacentral:rRNA from 1 species